UACAGGGACUGCAAGCGUUAUUCGGAUUCACUGGGCGUAAAGGGUGCGCAGGCGGCCAAGUGUGUUAGGCGUGAAAGCCCGGGGCUUAACCCCGGAAUUGCACCUAAAACUACAUGGCUAGAGCAUUGGAGAGGGUAGCGGAAUUCACGGUGUAGCAGUGAAAUGCGUAGAUAUCGUGAGGAACACCAGAGGCGAAGGCGGCUACCUGGACAAUUGCUGACGCUCAGGCACGAAAGCGUGGGGAGCAAAAGGG
rnacentral:rRNA from 1 species